AUAAAGUUUUAUCCACAAUCAUAAAAUAUACGAUUAUUAUCGAUAACCAAGAAUUGUGAUACUUGAAAUGUAUUAUACUAUGCAUAUCCAUACUCUUAAAACUCGACGCAUUGCGGGUUAAUACUUUGUCUGCCACGUUCUCGGUUAAAGCCUCGAGAACUCGGGCGCGACUUGCGGGCGCGAGUUUAAACUUGCGACGAUUCGUUUAACAAGUACUUAAUAGUUCCUUAACUAUGACUUAACUUGCCCGGAAGAAAAUUUCUAUCGUCGGGAAUAAAUUAGUGCGAUACGUCGUUAAGUUGUCGUUCUCAACCCCUCCCCCACGCCCUCCCCCCACCCCAACACCUCUCUUCUCUAACCACUCUCCUUUAAAAGUCAACAAUACCAACGAAUCUUACGUAGAGUUCGUACAAACUCGUUGGCCCUUCCGUCUGUGAAUACAAAUAAAUGGCUGGUAGAUGAUCCGAUGCAAAAAUGAUGAAAAUGAUCUUAACUUUCGAUGACCUCGCUUGACCUUUUCUCCUCCACCUCUGGCUGUCUGUCUACGUAACCGAUAACGUUGAGUUCGCUUAUCCAUUGUGGUAUCGCCAUUGAAACGGGUCACGUCAAACUGUUCCGUAGCCGAUGACAACGUCAAAGAAGAAGAAGAAGAAGAAGGAGGAAAAGAAGAAGAAGAAGAAGAAGAAGAAGAAGAAGAAGAAGAAGACGACUACGUCACUUUUCCUAACCGGAUGUUGCGUUUCUCACGCGGAUUGGUAGAAAUGCAGAUAGCAUUAGACGUUGUAAAUGUGGUAGAGGCGCUGGCCUCGUACGUAGUUAUCUUUCCUUUCUCGGGACUUAUCGAUUUCUUAACGAGAGAAACGUUAAAAGUACUUACAUAGACAAAUAAAGAUUUAAUGAUUUAUCCGAUUAGAAAAUUUCUUUUCUUUUUACAUUGAUACACUUCGUAUUAUUAGGUAAUCUCGUAAAUCGAUAAACGAUGAGAAAAAGAUAAAUGAAGAUGAAUAAAGGAAAAAAGAGAGAGACAGAAAGAAAAAAACAGAGAGAGAGAGAGUGGGAGAGAGAGAGAGAGAGAGAGAAGUAGAAAAACGUGAUAGAAACGUUUCAGAAAUAUUACUUAUAUAUCUACACGUUACAGGUGCUCAAGCUUAACGCGAAAUCUUGGAAGACGAAGAACGGCAAGUGCUCCAGGGAACGUGACGGAACGGAGCGAGUUUCUUGAGAAAUACGCACGACGUGAGAUCUGUGAACGCUACUUGAACGAAAGAACGAAAAAACGAACCCUUGGCGUAGGACCGCAAUGAUUUUUAUCCAAAUAAAAAUGAGAAGAAUCAGGAGAAACGGAGCGUAUCAGGAAGGAGAAAAAGAAAAGUCGGUUGGCUUUAUUCGCGUGAAUCAAGGAGUUACAAUGUAAAGUCGACUCGAGAUAUUCUUUCUUCAUCUCUCUCUCUCUCUCUCUCUCUCUCUUUCUCUCUCUCUCUCUUUCUCUUUCUCUCUAUUUCUUUCUCUUUCUCUCUCUCUCUCUCUCUCUCUCUACCUGUCUAUCUAUCUCCCUUUCUUUUUAUAACGGAAAGAACCUCGAUAUUUUGCCUUUAAAUUCUUACUAAGGUAUUUAUAAUUUACGACUUUAUAAAAGCCCCGGUUAAAGAAUGAGAGAUGCUCGUUUAAAGAUCGUAAAAAGAUAAAAGAGAGAGAGAGAAUGAGAGAGAGAGAGAGAGAGAGAGAGAGAGAGAGAGGGAGAGAGAGAGAAAUAGAGGGAGAGAGAAAAAAAGAGAAAGAAACGAACGUACCUGAGAUAGACUGCUACGACCAAAGGUGGGCGUUCCUGUCUGAG